rnacentral:rRNA from 1 species
AGCUCCAAUAGCGUAUAUUUAAGUUGUUGCAGUUAAAAAGCUCGUAGUUGGAUUUCGGAUGGGCACAACCGGUCCGCCGUUGCGGUGUGCACUGGUUGUACCUAUCUUGCUGUCGGGGACGCGCUUCUGGCCUUAAUUGGCUGGAACGCGGAGUCGGCGAUGUUACUUUGAAAAAAUUAGAGUGUUCAAAGCAGGCCUAAGCUCUGAAUACAUUAGCAUGGAAUAACGCUAUAGGACUCUGGUCUUAUUGCGUUGGUCUUCGAGACCGGAGUAAUGAUUAAGAGGGACAGUUGGGGGCAUUCGUAUUUCAUUGUCAGAGGUGAAAUUCUUGGAUUUAUGAAAGACGAACUUCUGCGAAAGCAUUUGCCAAGGAUGUUUUCAUUA